rnacentral:rRNA from 1 species
UUCCUACGGGGCGCAGCAGUGGGGAAUAUUGGGCAAUGGGCGCAAGCCUGACCCAGCAACGCCGCGUGAAGGAAGAAGGCUUUCGGGUUGUAAACUUCUUUUAAGAGGGAAGAGCAGAAGACGGUACCUCUUGAAGAAGCCCCGGCUAACUACGUGCCAGCAGCCGCGGUAAUACGUAGGGGGCGAGCGUUAUCCGGAUUCAUUGGGCGUAAAGCGCGCGCAGGCGGACCGUUAAGCGGGACCUCUAAUCCUGGGGCUCAACCUCAGGCUGGGUCCCGAACUGGCGGUCUCGGGUGCGGUAGGGG